UACGGAGGAUGCAAGCGUUAUCCGGAAUGAUUGGGCGUAAAGCGUCCGCAGGUGGCUAUGUAAGUCUGCUGUUAAAGAGUCUAGCUCAGCUAGAUAAGAGCAGUGGAAACUACAAGGCUAGAGUACGUUCGGGGCAGAGGGAAUUCCUGGUGUAGCGGUGAAAUGCGUAGAGAUCAGGAAGAACACCAGUGGCGAAGGCGCUCUGCUAGGCCGUAACUGACACUGAGGGACGAAAGCUAGGGGAGCGAAUGGG
rnacentral:rRNA from 1 species